UACGAAGGGGGCUAGCGUUGCUCGGAAUCACUGGGCGUAAAGCGCACGUAGGCGGAUCUUUAAGUCAGAGGUGAAAUCCCAAGGCUCAACCUUGGAACUGCCUUUGAUACUGGGGAUCUCGAGUCCGGAAGAGGUGAGUGGAACUGCGAGUGUAGAGGUGAAAUUCGUAGAUAUCUGGAGGAAUACCGGUGGCGAAGGCGGCAUCCUGGACCGACAUUGACGCUGAGGAGCGAAAGCUAGGGGAGCAAACGGG
rnacentral:rRNA from 1 species